rnacentral:rRNA from 1 species
AGUGAACGCUGGCGGUAGGCCUAACACAUGCAAGUCGAACGGCAGCACAGUAAGAGCUUGCUCUUACGGGUGGCGGGUGGCGGACGGGUGAGGAAUACAUCGGAAUCUACUUUUUCGUGGGGGAUAACGUAGGGAAACUUACGCUAAUACCGCAUACGACCUACGGGUGAAAGCAGGGGAUCUUCGGACCUUGCGCGAUUGAAUGAGCCGAUGUCGGAUUAGCUAGUUGGCGGGGUAAAGGCCCACCAAGGCGACGAUCCGUAGCUGGUCUGAGAGGAUGAUCAGCCACACUGGAACUGAGACACGGUCCAGACUCCUACGGGAGGCAGCAGUGGGGAACAUUGGACAAUGGGCGCAAGCCUGAUCCAGCCAUACCGCGUGGGUGAAGAAGGCCUUCGGGUUGUAAAGCCCUUUUGUUGGGAAAGAAAAGCAGCAGGUUAAUACCCCGCUGUUCUGACGGUACCCAAAGAAUAAGCACCGGCUAACUUCGUG